rnacentral:rRNA from 1 species
AUUGAACGCUGGCGGCAGGCCUAACACAUGCAAGUCGAACGAGUGGCGGACGGGUGAGUAAUGUCUGGGAAACUGCCUGAUGGAGGGGGAUAACUACUGGAAACGGUAGAUAAUACCGCAUACCAUCAGAUGUGCCCAGAUGGGAUUAGCUAGUUUGUGGGGUAACGGCUCACCAAGGCGACGAUCCCUAGCUGGUCUGAGAGGAUGACCAUCCACACUGGAACUGAGAAACGGUCCAGACUCCUAGGGGAGGCAGCAUGGGGGAAUAUUGCACAAUGGGAGAAAGCCUGAGGCAGCCAUGCCGCGUGUAUGAAGAAGGCCUUCGGGUUGUAAAGUACUUUCAGCGGGGAGGCGUUACCCGCAGAAGAAGCACCGGCUAACUCCGUGCCAGCAGCCGCGGUAUAC